rnacentral:lncRNA from 1 species
CAGUUUCUUAGAGCUGUCAUUCAAGAGUGGGUCAAAUUUGAGAUAUAAAAACCUUUCUCAAGGUAGACUCUUUGGCCCCUAUGCCUAGUAUGUCAGCUGGGCCUCUGAAGCUCUCCUCUUUGAGGUCCUGGCAGGCUCUGGCCCCUGUUGAGAAGGGGAAGCAGUCAUGUGAACUCAUGUGCUGGAAGAAUCCACUCUACCCCUUCCCUGGCUUCUCUGCUGCAAUUUUUGUCUUUAAACGUAUUUUCAGAUCCUUUGCACAUGGCCUGCUAUCAACAAUCCUCUACAAUGAUUCUCAGCAUCACCUAGGGAGCUUAUGUAAAAUCUCAAAUUCCUGGGCCCUAUCCCCAGAGUUUCUUAUCAAGUAAGUCUGCAUUGGGAUCUGAGGAUUUGCAUCUCUAACAAAAAUUCCUAGGCGAUGCUCACACUGUUGGUGUAAGGUUUCCUUGAUGGAGAACUAUCAAAGCAGUCAAAGCUAUCAAAAUAAAAAAGAAUUCUGAUUGGGUGCAGUGGCUCACACCUGUCAUUCCAGCACUUUGAGAGGCCAAGGUGGGCAGAUCACAUGAGGCCAGGAGUUCAAGACCAGCCUGGCCAACAUGGCAGAAACCCCAUCUCUACUAAAAAUACCAAAAUUAGCCGGGCAUGGUGGAACACACCUGCAAUCCCAGCUACUCGGGAGGCUGAGGCAAGAGAAUCGCUUGAACCUGGGAGGCAGAAGUUGCAGUGAAACAAGUUGGUGCCAAUGCAUUCCAGCCUGGAUGAUGGAGCGAGACUCUGUCUCAAGAAAAAAAAAACAAAAACAAAAACAGAACUCUGCCUCAUAGCGUCUUUUAAGUUAUACACUGGACCUAUCCUUUCCUCACUGACAGACAUUUUAAAAAUUUUUUGGUAAGGCCUAGUUCAUAUAAAAUGUAAUCCAAGCCAAAAGUUAACAAGAAUAAGGGGAGGAAAGGGGACUCCAAUAGCAGAGAAAGGUAUUUACCUGGGAUAUACACUGCAAGAAAAUCAAAGCUAUAAGAAACGUCCAUGAAUAGUAGCCAUAAGGCAUCAGAGUGAUAAAAUUCCUGUCCCUAGGAGGGAAUAUUGGAGUUUGCCAGAGAAACAGAAUGAGAGAGACAGAGAGGUUUAUUGUAGGAAUUGGCUCAUAUGAUUACGGAGGCUGAGAAGACCCACGAUCUGCCAUCUGCAAGCUGGAGAAUCAGGAAAGCUGGAGGUGUAAUUCAGUCAAGUCCAAUGGCCAGAGAAGCAAGUGUACUGAUAUCCAAGAGCAGGAGAAAAUAGAUGUCCCAGAACAAGCAGAGAGGCUGAUUUUGUCCUUCCUCUGCCUUUUUGUUUCAUAUGGGGCACUGAAUGGACUGAUGCCCAUCCACAUUAGUGAGGGUGGAUCUUCUUUACUCAGUCUACCAGUAGAAAUGUCAAUGACUUCCAGAAACACCCUCACCAACACACGUGGAAAUAAUGUUUUACCAGGUAUCUGGGCAUCCCUUGGUUCACUCAAGUUGACACAAAAUUAACCAUCACAGAAGGAGACUGGCCUUACUCUGAAAUUAGGAAACUAAAGAAGUGACCAGAAUGGAGACUAGGUAGAGACAACUAGUUCUCUACCAAACAUGUACAGUUAUUCGUUGGUAUCUGAAGGGGAUUGGUUCCAGGAACUCUCAGGGAUACCAAAAUCUGCAGGUGCUCAAGUCAUUUAUAUAAAAUAUUACAGUAUUUGCAUAUAACCUUUGCACAUCUUCCAUAUACUUUAAAUCAUCUCUACAUUACUUAUAAUAAUGAAUGUGUAAAUGCUAUGAAAAUAGUUACUACACUAUUGUUUAUUUGUAUUUUUAUUGAAUUGUUUUGGGGUGGGGGGCAGCUGUAUCUUUCUUAGUAAUAGAACCCCUGGUUUUAGCUGGGCACAUGACUGCCCUCAAUAAAGAUUAAAGUACCCCAGCCUUCCUUGAGAUUGUGGCCAUGUGACUGAACUUUAGACAGUGAGAUAUAAGCAGAUAUCUUCUGUGGCAGUGUUAGGAAACUAUUAAAGACAGUAAGAACAUUGCCCUUUGCCUUCUUUUUCCUUUCUUCAUUUUUCUGCCUGGAAUGCAAAUGUGAUGGCUAACACCCUAGCAGCCAUUUUAGAUUAUGAAGAUGAGAGUCACUCCCCAGGAAGGGUGGACCUGAAAGCUGGAUUCUAGAUGUGGAAUGACAAUACCAGCCCUGGACUACCUACCUGUAGGCUGUGUGUGUGUGUGUGUGAUUGACAGAGAGAGAGAGAGAUAGAUACCACAAGUAACACAAAGCAUCAUACCUGGGACUGGGAAGGUUAAUGUUUAAACAUUUUAAAUGUGGCAUUGGUUUGUUGAAGACAGUCAAGCAGUAGGUGCUGCAGGCUUUGUUGAGGCUAGAAAGCUGUUGGUCUUUAUUAGGUGAUGGCAAAACAAUGGAUCACAUUUUCAUGUGCUGUGUCUUGGGAGGCAAAUGAUGAGAAUGUAGGAUUGGGGAAAAUGGUAAGGAAAAUCCAAAAUGUUCAUGUUUUCUAACCCCUUCUUGCCAAUCUUAAAAGAAGGACAAACAGGCUAGAUUAAGCAAGUCUACAGUUACAAUUGGAAGGAAACACAGCCGUACUAAGGAAGUACUCUGUCUGUGGCCUGCAGUCUAGUUUGACUAGGUCCUGUAUUUGAGCUUUGAAAGAGUAAAGAAUACAAGUGCUCGUAUACCCCUGAAGUAGUUACCAGCAGUGACUGCAAGGAGGUAAUCUUAUGGGAUGAAACUAUAACUCUGUAUUAACCAUCAUAUAUAGCAUAUAUGUGUAUAUGUAUGUGUGUGUGUGUAUAUGUGUAUAUAAAUAUAUGUGUGUGUAUAUACACACAUGUACACACCCUACAACCCAGUGAUUUCAAAAAAUUAAACAUUUGUUUAGCUCAUGAAUCUGUGGGUUGGGUGAACAUUUCUAUUGGUCUUGGCUGGGCUCACCUGUACCCAGUCAGCUGCAGGGUCUAGCUCUUCUUAUCUUGGCUGGGAUCUCACACAUGUCUAGGAUCAGCUGCUUUACUAGUCUAGGAUUGUCUUGGCUGAGACAGGUGGACUACUCAGUUCUCCUCCACUGCCUUAUCCUUCAGCUGGCCAGCCCAGAAAUGUUGCCAUGUUUACAGCAUAAGAGCAAGCAAGAAAGAAUAAUAUGCAACCACUUUUCCAAGCCUAAGGUGAAAGGGCGGGCAGAACCUGUGGUGUUAGGAGGCAACUCAUACCAGCCCAUGGGUCUACCGUUUAAUUUUCAGAAAUUUGGCAAGCUGAUUGUUAACACAGCUGUUGUUUAAUUUAUGUACUUGUAAUUAAAUAAUUUACAUUAAAACAAAGAUAAUAGGUACUCAAAACUCAUGACUUUCUAGUUAUUUUAUUAUAUUUUACUAUUGUCUGUCCUCUUAAGGUGUUUGUUUCUAGUGUAUCUGGUGGAAACACUACUUCAUGUUUCAGUUGUGUCAAACCAGUAGCUUGAAAUCAGCCACUGUUGGAGUGUUUAUACCACAGAAAUUGAUAGAAGCUACAAAUGAAGUGUUGCUUGUUGAUUUGUUUUGUUAAUUGUCUGGCUUAAGAAAGUGGUAGAGAAAACAUUAAUGCAGAUUAAAUUUAAAAGCGUGUUGUGUCUGCGGCCGUUACAUUGCAAAUACAAAAAAUAAUUGAGGAAAUGUUCUUUGAAAACUAUUAUCUAAUUCUGCAAAGUUGUCACCUCAUUUACAAACAACUGCAGUUUCAGCUACCUCUUUAUUGUUUUACUUUCCUCUUACUGACAAUGAGAAUAUCAAUUAACAUUCAUGUCAGAACUACACUUGCUCAUGAACUACAACUGUA